AUGGAAGAUGUUGUGGUGGAGGCACCAGAUUGGCUACCAGAUGGUUGGAUCAUGAUGGUUAGACGUGGUGACGAUGGUGCCCUCUAUCGGUAUUUCAUUUCUCCAGUGUCAGGGGCAAAAUUCACGAUGAAGUCCGAGGUCCUGGACUACCUUUUCUCUGAGAUGGAUGAGCACUACAUAAAAGCCAAUUAUUUUGUUGCUGAUAGCAUGCUUUCUAAGUCACAUGAAUGGCUUCCAAAGGGGUGGUUGGUCGAGAUCAGAGCGGGCGGCGAGAAUGUGGACAAGAUGUACAAGUUUUAUGUUUCUGCGGCAAUGGGAGUAUGAUUGUUUUCUAAAGAAGAUGUACUACUCUAUGUUAAGGAAGGGAAGAUCUCCAGUUGUGAUACCAAUGGACAAUGCGACACAAACUCUCGAGAUAAUAUCCUUGCAGAAGUGGAGUUCCACCCAUCUGAGCUGCCACAUGGCUGGGUGAAGGAAUUGGAAUACAGAAAAACAUUGGAACGAACAAGGAAAGACCAGUACUACACGGACCCUCUUAGCCAUUAUGCAUUCAGGACAUUGAAGUCUGCACUUCACUACGUUCAAACGGGAAAACUUACAAAACGAGCAUUUGUUCAAAGAACAAGUGUAGAUGAAUUGUACAAUUUUGAGAAGUCUGUUGAUCUGGUAACUAAGCAUUUCAAGAUUGUGUAUUAUGAGUAA
rnacentral:rRNA from 1 species